CUUUUACCUUGCAAUUGUCUUUGGCUCGUUUAUAUUCAGAUUCAGUAUAUUAUGAUCGUGGACGGGAAUUCAAAGAUCCAAAUUUCGGAUUUUCAGAGUCGUGCACCAAGAAAAAUGCAUUAACUAAACUAGAAAAAAUGCCCAGUGUAACAUGGCAGUGUUAUACCAUGUUAUUUAAUAUAUUCAAUACUAUAUUCAAUACUAUAUAUUCAGUAUACUGUUAUAAUUAUAAGAGGAAGACCUUAGGCAACCUUCCUCGCAUGAAUAAGCAAAUAUUUAGAGAGAUUAAAGAACCACGGGAAACGCCUAGUACCACAAACCACGCAAACAGGACAUAGUUUUGUGGUUGAUAAACACUGCUAGAACUUGCUUUGACAAACAUAUUGCGUAGAGGAAAUUAGUCAUAGUUACAGAUUUCUUCCUCUAAAAUUUAUUAUAAAAGCUGAGCACAACCUGAGAGUCGAGAGCGGAGAGUGAAGUGAGAAGAGCCAUUUAGGCUAAAAUACUUCAUAAGCCAACAAAGGCUGAAGUAUAUAAUUAAAAGGCUAGAUAAUUAAGCCUCGUCAAGUAAACUGAAGAACAUUGAAAUAUUGUGGAAUAAUUAUUAUUAAAGAAGACGGAAUACAAAGUAUAAAGAAUAAAGAUUCAAAGUUGUGCUCAGCUCAAACAAAUAGAGAGAUAAGUUGAUAUAUUAAGAUUACUAUAUUAUUAUAACAUUAUAGAGACGCUAAUUCAUAUUGUUGAAAGUAAAUAAAAUAUAUAAAAGGUAUAAGGUUUCAUGCUAUUUGUGUUACGGUAGCGUUAAUAUAAUUUGAACCCGAAGCCUAAAGGUUGAAAAUAUACCUAAUUGGAAAAUAUAUUUGACGCAUAAAUAACGCACCAUAACACCAGAGUCAGACACAAUGCAAAAUCCAUAGAAAACAGGUACAAUUCGUUGAAAAUUUUAACGAAAUUGUUGGAAACAUUUUACCCACUACACGAAAGACCGCCAUUUUGAAAAGGAUAAAAUUAAGCAGCUCAUUAAUAUUCUAUUUUGUCUAGUCCCAGUCGUUCUGAAGCAAGCGCGAGAAAAAAGUGGAUGUAGUACGAGACUGGGACCUAGGUGUGACGUCACCGCUCAAGGUGCUUCAGAACGCCUAGCAGAUUUCAGUAUUUUUAAUAUGGCGGAAAAAUUAUAUAUAC